UACGUAGGGGCCAAGCGUUGUCCGGAAUCAUUGGGCGUAAAGCGCGUGUAGGCGGCCCGGUAAGUCCGCUGUGAAAGUCGGGGGCUCAACCCUCGAAAGCCGGUGGAUACUGUCGGGCUCGAGUGCGGAAGAGGCGAGUGGAAUUCCUGGUGUAGCGGUGAAAUGCGCAGAUAUCAGGAGGAACACCGAUUGCGAAGGCAGCUCGCUGGGACGUUACUGACGCUGAGACGCGAAAGCGUGGGGAGCAAACAGG
rnacentral:rRNA from 1 species